rnacentral:rRNA from 1 species
UUCCCGCUGACGAGCGGCGGACGGGUGAGUAAUGCUUAGGAAUCUGCCCAGUAGUGGGGGAUAGCCCGGGGAAACCCGGAUUAAUACCGCAUACGUCCUACGGGAGAAAGCAGGGGAUCUUCGGACCUUGCGCUAUUGGAUGAGCCUAAGUCGGAUUAGCUAGUUGGUGGGGUAAAGGCCUACCAAGGCGACGAUCCGUAGCUGGUCUGAGAGGAUGAUCAGCCACAUCGGGACUGAGACACGGCCCGAACUCCUACGGGAGGCAGCAGUGGGGAAUAUUGGACAAUGGGGGCAACCCUGAUCCAGCCAUGCCGCGUGUGUGAAGAAGGCUUUCGGGUUGUAAAGCACUUUCAGUAGGGAGGAAAACCUUAUGGCUAAUACCCAUGGGGCUUGACGUUACCUACAGAAGAAGCACCGGCUAACUCCGUGCCAGCAGCCGCGGUAAUACGGAGGGUGCAAGCGUUAAUCGGAAUUACUGGGCGUAAAGCGCGCGUAGGUGGUUUGGUAAGCGAGAUGUGAAAGCCCCGGGCUUAACCUGGGAACGGCAUUUCGAACUGUCAGACUAGAGUGUGGUAGAGGGUAGUGGAAUUUCCUGUGUA